rnacentral:rRNA from 1 species
GAUGAACGCUAGCUACAGGCUUAACACAUGCAAGUCGAGGGGUAACAAGAGAAAAGCUUGCUUUUCUUGUUGACGACCGGCGCACGGGUGAGUAACGCGUAUCCAACCUGCCUAUAACUAGGGAAUAACCUUGCGAAAGUAAGACUAAUACCCUAUAAUUUCCUCAGAUGUCAUCUGACGAGGAAUAAAGAUUUAUCGGUUGUGGAUGGGGAUGCGUCUGAUUAGCUUGUUGGCGGGGUAACGGCCCACCAAGGCAACGAUCAGUAGGGGUUCUGAGAGGAAGGUCCCCCACAUUGGAACUGAGACACGUCCAAACUCCUACGGGAGGCAGCAGUGAGGAAUAUUGGUCAAUGGGCGGAAGCCUGAACCAGCCAAGUAGCGUGCAGGAUAACGGCCCUAUGGGUUGUAAACUGCUUUUAUACAGGAAUAAAGUUAGCCACGUGUGGUUAUUUGUAGGUACUGUAUGAAUAAGGACCGGCUAAUUCCGUGCCAGCCGCCGCAGUAA